UACUCCUUCUUCACUGUGAUGGUUAGUUUUUUGUCAUCAUGACACAAACUAGAGUCACCUGAGAAGAAUUGGAAAUUGAGAGGUUAUCUCCACCAUAUUGCCUAUAGGCAAGUCUAUAAAGCAGUUUGAUCAAUGACUAUUGUGGGAGGCCCCACCCACCGGCUGGGCUGGCUGUGGUGGCGCACACCUUUAGUCCCAGUACUCAUGGGGGCAGAGGCAGGAAGGUCACUUUAAGUUUGAGGCCAGCCUGGUCUACAAAGGAAGUCCAGGACAGCCAGAACUACACAAAGAAAUCCUGUUUCAAAAAUUAAAAAGAGAGAGAGAGAGAGAAGGAAGAAAGGAAGGAGAAAAAAAAGAGAAAAUUAAGUGAGCCAUAGGAGCAAGCCAAAACACAGCAGCAAUAAGCCAAUGUCAGUCCUUCAGGGUACUCCCAGGUAGUACCUGUGAACCCUGCUUCAGCUUCUGCCUCCAGGUUCCUGCCUCGGAUCCCUCCAUAACAGACUGCAGUGUAAGCUCUAAGAUGAAAUAAACCCUUUCCUCCUCAUGUUGCUUUUGAUCAUGGUGUCCAUCACAGCAGCAGAAAGCAACCCAAAAUAGGCAGAUUACUAUGUACACAUUUUUUUUGGAACUUUGCAUCUUGGAGCACACCCUCCUAUUUCAGACCAGUUCAGCAGGAAACCUGGAGGCAGCUGGUGCAGGAAGGGCCCGGUGAGAUACAGGGGAGCCAGGGAAUACUAGAUCAUUCCUGCCAGCCAUGGUAAAGACUUUUGUUCUUCAUCCUAAGAUAAAUGCAGUAGAAAGCAGCGGGUUUGGAUUUUUGAGAUCAUUUAGUAGAAACUGCUAAAGAACUCCAAGCUAGGCUGUGGCCUGGCACUGCCAUGAGGCUUAGUCCCCAGUCCUUCAGGCUACCUCCACACAGCACCUGUGAAACCUCCUUGCUCACUAAUGAAAGAGCUAAGUGAGGGAAUUUGGGGACACACCUCAGAACCAGGGUGUGGUGGUACGCACCUGUAAUCCCAACACUCAGGAGAAAAAGGUCAUCAGGAGUUCAAGGUCAUCCUCAGCUACAUGUUGAGCUCAUGGCCAGCCUUAGGUUAUGUGGAACCCUGUCUCAAAAAUAAAAUUAUAAAAGCACUCUUACUCCAUGGACCUUCAUUUCCUCAUUGGAGAAAUGAGAAGGUGAAACUCUCAUCCUCCAUCUGUCUUCAUGCUUAGGUCUUAAGCACUGGAGGUUCCUGGUACCCCAUUACCCCAGGGUCUCUACUGUUUGCUCCUUUGGUUCUCGGCGUGGUGCCUGGGACAGAGAAAUGCACCCACAGAGUAUCAGUGAUGCUUUUUACCCUCAUAGUUUAGAGCCUCCACUCCAGAGAAGCACGGAGCACUCGGCCCUUGUCAGCAGCUGCAAAGCUGUUUGCAGUUUCACCCAGAACCAUUCCAUUAUAUCCCGUCCAAACCGCACUUGAGUUGCAUUUUGUUUUGAGCGCGUUGUUGGCAUUCUGGAUUUAAUUAACUGGCAGAGACAAAGGCUGGCUGUUUCACUCACCGCCCCCCCAGUCCGUGCCCAUUCUACUCGCCGACCCAGCUCUCAGCCAGCAGUCUCAAAGCCCCAGCCUACAUCCAGGUGGGCCGUUCAUUGUCCUCCUGGAAAGGAAAUCCUCACCACUGCCCGCCCCCACCUCUCGCCCACCUCAUCUCUUGCCUUUGGGUAUGGUCUAUUGAGCAUUCAUGAUCUGCUGGGCGCCAUGCUAAGCCUUUGUGUGUUUUUACUUCAUGGUAUCCUAGCAGUCCUGUGAGAUACUGUGUGUACAUCUAUUUUCUAGAGGAGGAUUAGGUUUGGAUCCUGAGCCACAGUGUUUCUCCAGGGCCACACAUGUAAUAGAUGGCAGCGCCGGGCCUCGAGCCUCUAUCUGUAGACUCUAAAUCUUUGGGCUUCAGCCACUACCUGCCCAGAAGGCAGGCUGGGUCUGGCCUUAGUACCUUCAAGUUCCCUGAAAGUCUGCCUACCCUGAGUUUCCAGGCACAGUCUCCCAUCAAGCCCCCUGGCAGAGAGCAGACUCCCUGGUGUGUGAACAGUGGUCAGGGAUACACACCACUGCAGAGUAAGCCGUAGGUGCCCUGAUCUCCAAGCCCCGCCUGCUGUCUUGGCCCCAGUUCUAUUUUCAGAGUCUCUCUAGGCAGAAAAGCCCACCCCUGAGUGUGACUGACAGUGCCCAGGGAGGCCUGGCCCCACGCUGCCCUCACAGCAGCAGCAGUCCAAGGCAGGUGGCAGAGCCAGGACCAGAGGACAGGUGCUGGUGCCAGGCCUGCUGCGUCUCUGUCCUGACCUUUCCACCCACGGUGAUGGCUUCGGGCAAGUCACCCUCUCAGACGUCUUUCUGUUUUUUAGAACUGUAAAGAAUAGUCCCUUUACCUCUGCCCUAAGAGCUUGUCAGUGGUCACUGAAGGCACCAGGCAGCCACAUUUCAUGCAAGAAGCCAGCAAACAGCAUGUAGGGUUUCCAUCCCCAGCCUGGCAAUCUGCAUGUGGCAUUCCUUCUGCCUGGCAUGGAACCGUGGACCCCCUAUUGAUGAAGGGACUGUAGAGCAUUUACUCUUGUUCAAACAACUGCAAGGGGGUUUUACCCUUCCCUGAGUCACGGAGCUGAGGAUGGUGAGCACCUGCCUUCUGGUCCAGAACAGUUUUCUUAUUCUACCCCAUCCUGCCUGCUGAAGAAAGAAACAGAGAUGAAUAAGAUGUGGGUGCUGAGACUGAAGAUGCCUCGCUCCAGAAAGUGCUUGUCCUCUAAGUGCAGAGGCCUGAGUCUGGAUCCCUGGCAUCCACAAAAUAAGUUUUUAAAAAGUAUGGCAUCAAGUGCUUAUAAUCCACCACUGCCCAGCUCCUGGGAGGCAGAGAGAAGAGGUCCUUGAGGCUCUCUGGCCAGCCAGUGAAGCCUCCAGAAUAAGGUGGACAGCAGCGAGGACCACCGGAGGCUGACCUGGGGCCUAUGUGUACACAGAUACCAGGCGCGGGUCCUGCCACCCGCCAGCUUACACCCCAGUCUUUCCAGAGAAGUCAGCAGGCUGAGCCGGGUAUCCCUCCUGCGGACUGUCCGAGGCUCCGGAAGCCUGAGCAGAACUAAGUGUCGUGCCCAGGUGUGCAUGGCUCCUGUGAAUGGCAGGCUCAGCUGGACAAUCGCUCUUGGCCACUCUGAGAAAAGCCCCACGGGACCGCCCCCCUCCGCACAUACACAGGAACAGCUGAGGCAGGCUGCAGCUCCAGCUCUGGUGGGCUGAGCAGGCUCUGAGUCACUGGGGAGCCUCUGAGCUCCGCAGCACCAGCCCCCGGCAGAGGAACUGCAGAGCUGAAUGGUGUCAUUUGAGAGCUAGGGUACAAGAGAGGGCUCAGCGUGUCCUCACAUGCUCCAGCUGACAUCUGAAGGCCAUUUGCCUUCACGCUUUCCCUGGGAUCGCAGACGUUUUGGCCUGGGUUACUGAUCCUGCCUCCCAGGAUCCAUCUGCCAUAAACCAAAACCUGCACCAGCACCCCAGCACCGUGAGGGCAUGAGGGCCUCCAAGCUCUCACUGUCCUCCCGGCCUGUGCUGACCCUUUCCUAAGAGGUCAUAUGGCAAAAAGAAACCAUUCCUUAAUGUCAGGAAGCCCCGGGUUCAAAGCUCAGGUCUGCAUGUACUCAGGAAAGGUGCUUAACUUCUCUAAGCCUGUGUUUCUUCACCUGGAAAAGCUCCUUUUGCCCUGCUCAGGAGGCAAGCCCAUCAAGGGCCUCAAAGCAGAUCGGCUGUGAGCAAGCGGCCACUGAGCAGCUGUUCCCUGGGCGGCGAAGCAGCUCCCUCCUGUGAACAUGAAGCUGACUCUCCAUGCAAGCAGCUGCCUCAACCCGACAACAGCUAGUGACAAUGGCUGCCACAGAGAGGCCCAAUGAAACUCCUUUUAAAGAGCACAGCCAGAACAGUGAGGUGAGGUCACCUUUCCCAGAACAGGACAGUGGGAAAGGGAGGACAGGACAAGAAGUGGCACCAUCUUCUAGAAGGACAAGAGCCAAGAGGACUGAUGGGCCAGGACCUGGUAUCUUUACAGGCAGGACUGCGUGGUCACUGCUAACCUCCUAGUGGCUGGCAAAGUAGGCAUACAGCAAAUCCUUCCUGAACGGCAAGGAAGCAAACCCUUGUAAGCAUGCGCUGUACUCACACACAGGAGCAGAAGCUAAAACGGAGAUGGGACCCCAGCACAGUUCUCCAUACCUGCUCUUUCUACCACUUUCUGUCAGGAUCCCACAGCCCACCCCUAGAGAUCGAGGGUUCUUAAUUACAAGUCCAGGUCGUGGGCAUAGUAUAGUGUAUGUACAGUGUCUAACCUGAUAGUUUUGUCCAGAAAAUAAUUUUCAUUGUAAAAAGAUUUUUUUUUCAUGCCUGUAUAUACACAGAGAUGUUAACGUCCGUGCAUGAGGCGCCUGCACAGUCCGGAAGCUACAUGUCAGAUCUCCUGCAGCUGGAAUUACAGGUAGUUGGGAGCCUCCACCUACAGUGUAGGUGCUGGGAACUGAACUCUGGUCCUCUGAAAGAGCAGUGGCUGCUCUUAGCCUCUGAGCCUGUUUUCUGGUGCCCAGUAUUUUUAAUUUUCACAUUAUCAUUAUUAUCAAUAGUGUGUGUGCGCGUUCGUGAAAGAGAGAGAGAAAUUGGAGCAGUCACAGAUGCCAUGACACCUGUGAAGAGCAGAGGGCAACUUUGUCAAAUGGAUUCUCUCCUUUCACCUUUAUGUAGGUUCCAGGGAUCAAACACAGGUCGCCAGGUUGUGCGGCAAGAACCUUAAUCCACUGAGUCAGCUAGCUGGCCCCAGUAAAUGAUUUUAAAUAAAUUCUGCUCUGAAAGAUGUAUAUAUGCCUAGCGCCGGGUAAAUUUCAUCAUUUGGCUCAUCAGAACCUCCAGAGAUCUUUUUCUUUAAUUGCAGAGCCUUGGCUAGAGCUACAUAGCUCGGUUGGCAGAAUGCCCACCUCACACACACACAAAGACCUGGGCUUGGCCCCCAUCGCCACAUCAAAUCAGGUGCAUGUCAGUCACCCGUACACUUGAGAGGUAGAAGCAGGAUUAGUUCAAGUUUAUUGUCAGCCUCAUCGUAAGUCUGUAACCAGCCUAUAAUACAUGAGACUCUGUCUCAAAAAAGAAAAAAAAAAAAAAACUGUGUAAAACCUCCUCCUUUAUCUGA